rnacentral:lncRNA from 1 species
AAGAAAACCCCACACAUUUUCUCGGUUCCCUUUUCACUCACUCUCACAAUAUAACCCCAAACAACACAAAAAAAACAGCCAACUCCCCUAACUCUCUCAAACUCUCCCUUUUUUCUCACACACACAAGUUUUUUUCACAAACUAAACAAACAAAGGAAACAAAAGGACGGUUACGGCUUGAAAAACUUUAUCAAAAUGUGAACCGAGGAACUACUACUUUCAUUGAGGUAUUUUCUAGCUUUUUAAUCAUAUUACAUGCAUGUUUCAUUGCUUAUUUUUCUCUUGCUUUUGCUGGUUUGUUGUUGUGAUUUUGGAAAAGUCAUAGAACAAGAUUAAGGGAAGAUAAAUGGGUUUUGUUUAUGUAUAUAAAUUGUUUGAACAAACGCCAAAGGAAAAAACCAAAUUAAGUUAGGUUGUUUCUUAUUCAUUUAAAGUCAUAGUUGCACUUUAGAAUUCGAAAGGGUUGUUUUGGUGUGACUUUUACAAAUUUUAGAGGUGAUUAGAGUGGUUUUAAAAAAAAAAAAAAAACUGGGCUGUUUUUCAACAAUUUAGUCACUUUUGGUUCGUUUUUUGUAAAAAUUAAGGUCGGAAACGGAUUCCAUGCAAAAAAUCAAGUGGGGAGGUAUUUUGGUGAAUUUUCAUGAUCGGAGAGAUCGCCAGCGGCCCGCGAUGGCGGCGCCGCCAGCUCUGAGGCUUCAAUCUGCCGAAGAAGAUCAAAGAAAGGAAAGAAGAAGAAGAGAAAGGAAAGAAAGAAAAAGAAGGAAAAAGAAAAGAAAGAAAAAAGAGGGAAAAGAGAAAAAAUAAAGGGUUGGGUUUUUAUCUAGGGUAAAUUCCACUUUACCCCCCUGUGGUUUAGCGUUUUUUCACAUAACCCCCCUAUGGUUUCAAAAGCUAUACAUAACCCCCUCAUGGUUUGGAUUAAAGUGUCAAAGUAACAGAAAUAGUCACUCGUAACGGAACUUCUAAAAAUGUCGAAAUUACCCUUAUAAAUACAUGACACAUUAACCCCCUAUGAUUUUUAUAUUUUACCAUAUAACCCCCUUAUGGUUUAAUACUUUACCAUAUAACCCCCUUAUGCUUUUCAAAAUAUACACAUAACCCCCUUGGUUAAUACAUAAAUUUCAACCUUACAUAACGGUAUUUUUGACAUUUUAGGUGACGCCGUUACGAGUGACCAUUUCCGUUACUUUGACACUUUAAUCCAAACCAUGAGGGGGUUAUGUAUAGCUUUUGAAACCACAGGGGGGUUAUGUGAAAAAACGCUAAACCACAGGGGGGUAAAGUGGAGUUUGCCCUUUUAUCUAUUUGUAGUUGAGUUUAAGAGUGGGCUGGUAUUGUUUUUUUUACUUUGGGUUUUGUCUGGGCUUUAGAGUUAAGCCAAAUAUUUUUAUAAUAUCUAAGUUUGUUUAAAUUUCUUUAAGUUUGUUUGUUUGUUUGUUUUUUUGGAUUAGAUUGCGUCAAUUUAUUUGGGCUGAAGUGUUGCGGCCCAAAAUACAUAAAAAUAGCCCAAUGUUUGUUUUUUGUGAAAUCAGAAUCCACAUUUUGCAAUUCGGUCCUUGAUUUUUCAAGUAAUUUCACUGUGGCUCUAAAUUUUUGAAUUUCUUUCACUUAGAUCCUUAAUUUAAUUGUACUUUGGUCCUUAAACUUUAUCUUUUUAUUCAAUUUUGACCCCUAAUUUUUUCAAUAAGUAUAAUUUGACCUCAAUAACUUUUCCAAUUUUGCAAUUAGGUCCCUUAGCUUGAUUAUUUCUUAAUUACAAUUGCUUAUCUUCUUUAAUUGUUAAUCUUGCUUCAUUUAAAUAUAUUUAAUUUACAAAUUUUAGGGAUUUUAUGUUUAUAUUUUUUUAUAAUAAUAAAGUGAAUUUACUAUAUGUUUACAUUUUCUUUUAAAUUAUUGUUUAAAUUGGUGCCUUGACUACUUUAUUGGAUUUGGAGUAUAAAUAGGGCAAUUAUACCUCAUUUAACCACUACUUCAGGGGAGGCAUUUUCUAUUAUUAUUUUAAGUUUCUUUGAUGUGCUCCUAUGUAUUUUUUAUGUGUGAUUGCACAUUUUGAGUGUUUUUUCUUUUAUUUACUCAUCUUAUUCAUUUUAAAUUUUUAUUUAUUUUAUUCAAUUUUUGAUGAUUAUUUGGGAGAUAUUUAAAUACCAAAUUGUAAUAGAUAGGUGUCUAAGAAACAUAUUUAGUUAGGCAAUGUUAUAGAUAGAUUUUAUUUUUGCCAAGAUUGUAAUUGUUUAGAUAAAUGUAAUAAAUAGGUUUACGAUUUCCAAAAAUUCCCCUUCUAGAUUGUACGUAGGGCUCCCAAUGUAAUAGUUAAUUUUUGUUUGCUUGUAUGCUCGUGUGCUCAUGUGUUUAUAUGUUUAUUCGCUUUCUUUAGGUUUUUUGCAUCUAGAUAUUAUGUC